rnacentral:tRNA from 1 species
CAAGGAAUAGUUUAAUUAAAAUAUAAAUUUUGGAGAUUUAAGAUAGAAAGAGUUUUUUCCUUGA